rnacentral:rRNA from 1 species
CCCUUCGAUGUUCUGGGCCGCACGCGCGCUACACUGAUGCAUUCAACGAGUCCAACCUUGACCGAGAGGUCCGGGUAAUCUUUGAAACUGCAUCGUGAUGGGGCUAGAUUAUUGCAAUUAUUAAUCUUCAACGAGGAAUGCCUAGUAAGCGUGAUUCAUCAAAUCGCGUUGAUUACGUCCCUGCCCUUUGUACACACCGCCCGUCGCUCCUACCGAUUGAGUGUGUUGGUGAGGAGUUUGGAUUGGCCUCGGAAGGUGGUUCGCCACCGUCCGUAGCUGAGAAGUUCUCCAAACCGCCCCACUUAGAGGAAGGAGAAGUCGUAACA